CGUGCCAUCAAUUGGUAUUGGGUCUCUUUCCUCCAGAGAAGCAGAAGGAAGAACAAAUGUUUCUUCAGGAGAUAAGGAGGCCCAUAAAUUGCUUCAGCCAGCAGAUAAGACUCU